CCACACAAGCUGGAUUUGAACCAACAACCUAUGGAUUACUAUAUUAUCUACAGUUCACCGUUCAGCCAACUAAGCUAUCAUGAUG
rnacentral:tRNA from 1 species